rnacentral:rRNA from 1 species
AGAGUUUGAUCCUGGCUCAGAUUGAACGCUGGCGGCAUGCCUUACACAUGCAAGUCGAACGGUAACAGGUCUUCGGAUGCUGACGAGUGGCGAACGGGUGAGUAAUACAUCGGAACGUGCCCGAUCGUGGGGGAUAACGCAGCGAAAGCUGUGCUAAUACCGCAUACGAUCUACGGAUGAAAGCGGGGGAUCGCAAGACCUCGCGCGGACGGAGCGGCCGAUGGCAGAUUAGGUAGUUGGUGGGAUAAAAGCUUACCAAGCCGACGAUCUGUAGCUGGUCUGAGAGGACGACCAGCCACACUGGGACUGAGACACGGCCCAGACUCCUACGGGAGGCAGCAGUGGGGAAUUUUGGACAAUGGGCGAAAGCCUGAUCCAGCCAUGCCGCGUGCAGGAUGAAGGCCUUCGGGUUGUAAACUGCUUUUGUACGGAACGAAAAAGUUCUCUCUAAUACAGGGGGCGAAUGACGGUACCGUAAGAAUAAGCACCGGCUAACUACGUGCCAGCAGCCGCGGUAAUACGUAGGGUGCAAGCGUUAAUCGGAAUUACUGGGCGUAAAGCGUGCGCAGGCGGUUAUAUAAGACAGAUGUGAAAUCCCCGGGCUCAACCUGGGAACUGCAUUAGUGACUGUAUAGCUAGAGUGCGGCAGAGGGGGAUGGAAUUCCGCGUGUAGCAGUGAAAUGCGUAGAUAUGCGGAGGAACACCGAUGGCGAAGCAAUCCCCUGGGCCUGCACUUGACCUCAUGCACGAAACGUGGGGAGCAAACANGAUUAGAUACCCUGUAGUCCACGCCCUAAACGAUGUCAACUGGUUGUGGGUCUUCCUGGCUCAAUAACGA